UACGUAGGGCGCAAGCGUUGUCCGGAAUUAUUGGGCGUAAAGAGCUCGUAGGCGGUUUGUCGCGUCUGUCGUGAAAGCCCACGGCUUAACCGUGGGUCUGCGGUGGAUACGGGCAGACUAGAGGCAGGUAGGGGAGAAUGGAAUUCCCGGUGUAGCGGUGAAAUGCGCAGAUAUCGGGAGGAACACCCGUGGCGAAGGCGGUUCUCUGGGACGGUACUGACGCUGAGACGCGAAAGCGUGGGGAGCGAACAGG
rnacentral:rRNA from 1 species